rnacentral:lncRNA from 1 species
GAACUGGGAAUUAACAAGGGUAACCACACACCAAAGGGAGAUGGAAAGAAAGUUGUUAUGGCUGUACCCUAACCCACAGAAUGCUACAACUGCCCUGCAAAAGGCUGCUGUAUCCUCAGAAGAGGCCAGCAACAGGCCCACACAGAUGGUGUGAGUGACUAACAUCCCUCGAUUUUGUACAGCCUACACACUGAUGUCAUAAGAAGAGACUAAUACCUCGGAGGCUGGGGGAGACAUCUGGAGCAGAGAGCUGCAGCAGUCAAAGUGAGAAGAAAAAGGGAGGUGAGAGUGAGAGGGUGGGAGAGGGAAGGAACAAGAGAGCAAGCGAGGGAGUCUGAGUGCUCUUGCCCCUUUCUGAUCUUAAUGCAACUUUUUUCUUCACACAAUAUCCGAACUACAAAAUGCCGUUGUCUUACUUUGCAAGCUCCUCUUCCCUCAGGGCUAUUUGGAGGAAAAAACAGCGUUACUUAAUGCUAAGGAUUAAUGAAGAGAGACUGAAUUAGAAGAACUGCCACCAGAGAAGUCAAGCUCUGUCUCAUCUGGAUGUACGAUUCCUUAUCACAGCAUUCUUGGGAUUCAGGAGAGGGUGUUCUGAGUAUGAUGCUAUUGAGGGUCUCAAGAAAACGUAAGCAUUGUGUACUGAAUAAAGGCAAUGUUUGGGCAUACACCUGGCCCACGGUUAUCUACCAUCAGAAUGGGCUGUCUGUCCCAUUUACGAAGUGCCUUGUGUUCCGUAUGAGCCACAACCAUGAGGGCAACACCAGAUAAAACAGGUUUGUCUCUCUAAGAGGUAAGCUAUUAAAAAAUCUAGCCGCAUAUAAAACAAUGCAAGGCAAACACAAAAAGGUGGGUAAUUUAGAUAAAUCGAACAGCUUACAGAAUAGGUUUUUAAGAUUUAUUUUGGAAUGUAGAAGAAAGGUAGGGUUCAAGGCAUUUUAACAUGGAAUAUGUUUUAAGCAGGCCAAGAGAAUGAGAAUGAAUGGGGUUGAAAACAGGGAUAAUUAAUGGCUUGGGUGGAGGGGAAGUAGCUCUAUGGGUGUAAUUGUGCACAAGAUCUGAGUUGAGGAAGGGUGGUGGUGGGGAUAAUGCGAUCGAGGCCACACGAAAGGAAAAUGCUACUGCCAAAAUUGUUUUAGUCAAUGUUAAGAGAAAUGUCAAUGACCAUAUCGCAAGGUUGGAGUGCAGAAGAAAUAAGUAUGGAGAAAACAAAAAUCGGUAUGUUUUCCAUUAGAAAGUGAAAAAUGAAUAUAUACGUGUUAUAUAUUUAUAAAAGGAUCUUGAGGUGAGUGGAAAUACCUGAGAGAGUAUGAUCUUCCAUUUAGCUUUGUUGUCAUUUAUUUUGAGGCCCCACAGAUAGAAGCCCCAGUGACAAGCUUCUAAAGAGCUCUUAGGCUCCGUAAUUUUACUGGUAGCUGCACAAAUUGUUAAAAGGAUUUUUUGGUAAGGAAUUUGAGCUGAUUAAAGAUAAUCUACCCUGCCACCCCUGGGUUGGGCCCCAUCACAGGGGCCAGGACUCAGAAGAAUCUGAAAAAUAUCAGGGCCCUGUCUUGUGAGAUGUGCAUUUGGGCUUCCAGCCAGCUGGGGCAGCGCUGCUCCAGGGUACGGGGAUGGCCCUUUUGCCAAAUGAAGGAGUGCUGGCCGAUGAGGUGCCAAAAUGUGAUUUCCCAGGGCAGUGCUCAGAGCUAUGUGAGGGCUGUGAAAGGCCUGUUCUGUGUGUAGGUGAAGGCUGUGUCAGGAAUGGCUAAGUGAAUCUAGGAAUGUUCAGUCUUUAGAAAUGUGGUUUUGUUGGGUUGGGUUUUUGUUGUUUGGCUGGUUGUUUGAACUUCUUACAGGUUUAAGAAUGAUGUUUCUUUCCCCAUUCCCUUCACCUGCCUGAAGAACUCUCUCCUUUCUGAGAAGGAGAUGAGGACUUGGGAAGAAUUUAUAGAGCAAGGACACAAAAUGUCCUGAACGUAGCUUCUCUUGUAAAAGAAGAGCAAGAGGAAACCAGGAGCAUCUCCGCCAUUGGUCUGACUGUCUAAAACUCUCAUGCAGCGAUAACAUUUGGAUUUCAGGGAGAAAUGGCAGAAAGCGUCAGAAGCAGACAGGCAGCAAGAAGCAGGAGCUGGAGGACACAAGGAGAGGAGGGAUCCUUCUGAGCAACGGGGCUGAAAUCCCCACGCGUGGACGGAAUGACGGCAGGCGCGUGAUGCUUGGCCGUGCCCGCGGCGCUGCGAGGGGGCGGCUGGCUGACACGGGGGUGAACCUGCACCGGCCCCGCGCUGGGACGCGCCGUGCUCUGCACGCACCAUCCAUCAUGAUUAAGCCUCUGGAGUGAGGGUGUGGGAAGCAGUGUAAUUGUCACCGAUUCUGGUAAAGAAUUAAGAUUUACGGCUUGCGAAGGGUCACAGUUGGGACGGGAAGCUGACCAGCAAUGAAAUUACUGUAAAUACGUGCUAGCAAAAACAACAUUACAAAUGGUGUCUGCAGGACAGCGUGUGUUGCUGUUGUGUUUGUUCCCCAGUGCAGGUUGCGGUAUGUUGGCUCAGUGAAAUGAAGAGGCCGGUGUAGCUGUCGGGGUUGGCGUUGCCCAGGUGCUGCCAUGGAGGUGGGAAAGCGUCCCAAGGGGCAAAGCAGCAGGACAGGAGAGCGAGGGUGCUGAGUGGGGUCUCCAAACAAAGCUGUGCAUCCUCCCAGGUGUGCGCCCGGGUGGUGCCAGCCUCAGGCACAAAACAUGCACCCGAGGGGUUUGUGCUUUACAGACGACGUGCUGGGUUGCUGGUGGGCCCGUGCCCGGGCUUUGCCGUGCUGCCCUUUGCCAAGCCACCGAGCCCCCCGCCCCUCCCAGCCCC